UACGUAGGGUGCGAGCGUUAAUCGGAAUUACUGGGCGUAAAGGGUGCGCAGGCGGUCUUGUAAGUCAGAUGUGAAAUCCCCGGGCUUAACCUGGGAACUGCGUUUGAAACUACAAGACUAGAGUGUAGCGAGAGGGGGGUGGGAAUUCCACGUGUAGCAGUGAAAUGCGUAGAGAUGUGGAAGAACACCGAUGGCGAAGG
rnacentral:rRNA from 2 species